ACAGCUGCCGAUGCAAUUCUGAGAGGGCUUCUAGAUGCAAUUCUGGGAGGGCGUCUCUGCCUUCGGGCCUGCCUGAGCAGGGCUGGCAGUGCUACACAGAAGCUACUCAACAGAUGCUCACCCACACAGAAGGCAGCCAUGGACUCCAGCCGCCAAGGACUCCAGCUCCACUGCUGACUCGCUGUGCAGCCCCGGCAAGUCUUACCCUCUCUGGGCCUCAGUGUUUUCAGAAGCCCGCUGAGGCCCUGAACCUCCCCACCAAGUACUGGCUCUUGGGGCUCUGAGGAGGGGGCAGGAACUAGGAAGGAAAGGCUGAAGAUCCCUUCCAGAAGGGUCUCUAGCCCCUGACUCCUCUCAGAGCACAUUUCUGUCCUCAAGUUCAGCCAGAAGAAAAAAAAAAAACUUAGGGCCAAGUUACUGUAGGUCUCUGCCAGUGAGAAACCCCAACAAGAUCCCUAGGCACCCCAAGGGCUGUGACACCAGAGGGCAGCCAUUGCUGGGGAAGGGACAGGGGCCCAGCCUCAGCCAUGCCGCAGAGGGACCUCCCACGCCUCAAGCCCAGUGGUCAAGGCCUCUCUCCCAUUUAAAGCCCAGGAGAUGCUCCCAGCUUAUCCCCUACCCUCUCGAGACCAGCUCUCUCCCCAGCUCCAACCACGGGCAAUCUCACCCCAAGACACAAGGGCCAGCUCAAAUGCAACCUCUUCCAGGAAGCCUUCCUGGACUUCCUCUGUCAGUCCUCUGCUUCCCUGGCCCCAUCGACCACUGUCUUAGCCUUUUAGCCCCACCAAUUUCUAGCCUCUGUCUUCCCCACCAGACCAGACAUGUCUCUGAGAGCGGGGACUGCUUUCCUUACCACUGCCCCUUCGCAAGGUGCCCAGCCCAGGGCCUGGCCCACAGCGGGCACUUACUUAAUGUGUGUUAGAUGAAAUCAUCUCCUGGGACAAGGAAAAUUCUAAUGACAGUAAUAAUCAUAGCCCCUUUUCACUGGCCAUUAACUACGGGUCAGUGGUGAACUUCAUUUAUUUAUUUAUUUUGGCUUUGGGGGGCCCAAGGCAUACGGAGGUUCCCAGGCUAGGGGUUGAAUUGGAACUGUAGCUGCUGGCCAACACCACAGCCACAGCAACACAGGAUCCAAGCCUCGUCUGCGACCUACACCACAGCUCACGGCAACACCAGAUCUUUAACCCACUGAGCAAGGCCAGGGAUCGAACCUGCCUCUUCAUGGAUACUAGUUGGAUUUGCUACCACUGAGCCACAGUGGGAACUCCUAAGUAAGGAACUUUAUAGCUUAUCACAAAUGAGGCCCAGGUGAGGAAAGGGCUUGUCCAAGGUCACUCUGCUAGAGGGAGGCAAAGCCAGGAUAUGAACUUGGGUUUGUUUGACUUGGAAAUGCAUGCUGGGUCAUAGAAGUGAGAACAUGGAGGUAGCCCGCUGCCAGUCUCCCAAAGCUGGGAAACUAGUCUGAAGCACAAACCAACACUGGAGUUCCCUUGCGGCCCAGCAGGUUAAGGAUCCAGCAUUGUCACUGCUGCAGCUCAGGUCACUGCUGUGGCUUGAGUUCAUUCUCUGGCCCAGGGAAAUUCCACAUGCCGAGGGCAUGGCUAAAAAAAAGAACAAAAAAAAAA
rnacentral:lncRNA from 1 species